UACGGGGGGGGCUAGCGUUGUUCGGAAUUAUUGGGCGUAAAGGGCGCGUAGGCGGCGAUUCAAGUGGCGGGUGAAAUCCCUCGGCUUAACCGAGGAACUGCCUGCCAGACUGGAUUGCUUGAGUCCGGGAGAGGUGAGUGGAAUUCCCAGUGUAGCGGUGAAAUGCGUAGAUAUUGGGAGGAACACCAGUGGCGAAGGCGACUACCUGGCCUGUUCUUGACGCUGAGGCGCGAAAGCUAGGGGAGCAACGGG
rnacentral:rRNA from 1 species